rnacentral:lncRNA from 1 species
GGGGGCGGGGCCGCUCGGGGGCGUGUCCGGGGGCGUGGCCAGGCGGGGACGGUGACGCAGUGGGCGGGGCAGGGCGGGGCGGCAGCAGCGGCAGCGGCGGCUUCCAGCGACUUCGGCGGGCGGUCACUGCUGGGUGUUUGAAGAACUGUGAUGCUCAACGGAGACACACUUCCACAUCAGCAGUGACACCUCCUCCAGCUUUAGGGAAAACAGCCCAUCCUCACCAGAGCCCCCUCAGCAUGCCCAGCCAGCCCAGACAUUCCCUGGACCCUCCCUGUACUGGCUUGGGCUCUCCCCUGGGACAAAUCCUCAAGGAUCGUUUUGUCCCCUUUUGAACAGCCUGGACGCUGCAGCCCCUUGGAAACGCAUCAGGGAGGUGACACACGGAACCAGGAGAGGUGACACACAGGACCCAGCAGAGGUGACCCACGGAACCCAGCAGAGGUGGCAGCAGGAGCCAGCAGUGACGAACAGCGAGCGGGGCACUGGUGACUGCGAGGACCCUGUUGGUGCCCAGGACAUCCCUGCACCUUGCUGGAGCGAUGCCAGCUGCUGCUUAGCCUGCAGGAGGAAGGGAUGGGGAGUCCCCCUCCUUG